rnacentral:rRNA from 1 species
UGGGGAAUAUUGCACAAUGGGGGAAACCCUGAUGCAGCGACGCCGCGUGAACGAAGAAGGUAUUCGUAUCGUAAAGUUCUGUCCUAUGGGAAGAUAAUGACAGUACCAUAGAAGAAAGCUCCGGCUAAAUACGUGCCAGCAACCGCGGUAAUACGUAUGGAGCGAGCGUUGUCCGGAAUUAUUGGGCGUAAAGGGUACGCAGGCGGUUUAAUAAGUCGAAUGUUAAAGAUCGGGGCUCAACCCCGCAAAGCAUUGGAAACUGAUAAACUUGAGUAGUGGAGAGGAAAGUGGAAUUCCUAGUGUAGUGGUGAAAUACGUAGAUAUUAGGAGGAAUACCAGUAGCGAAGGCGACUUUCUGGACACAAACUGACGCUGAGGUACGAAAGCGUGGGGAGCAAACAGG